AUGAACGCUGGCGGCAUGCCUUACACAUGCAAGUCGAACGGCAGCACGGGGGCAACCUGGUGGCGAGUGGCGAACGGGUGAGUAAUGCAUCGGAACGUGCCAUUGAGUGGGGGAUAACGUAGCGAAAGUUGCGCUAAUACCGCAUAUUCUGUGAGCAGGAAAGCAGGGGACCGCAAGGCCUUGCGCUCUUUGAGCGGCCGAUGUCAGAUUAGCUAGUUGGUGAGGUAAAGGCUUACCAAGGCGACGAUCUGUAGCGGGUCUGAGAGGAUGAUCCGCCACACUGGAACUGAGACACGGUCCAGACUCCUACGGGAGGCAGCAGUGGGGAAUUUUGGACAAUGGGCGCAAGCCUGAUCCAGCCAUGCCGCGUGAGUGAAGAAGGCCUUCGGGUUGUAAAGCUCUUUCGGCCGGGAAGAAAUCGCAUGGGUUAAUACCCUGUGUGGAUGACGGUACCGGAAUAAGAAGCACCGGCUAACUACGUG
rnacentral:rRNA from 1 species